AAUCCAAUCAACAAAGGAGGGUGGAAGACAUUGUUUUUCAAAUGGAGUCAUGGGUAUACAGAUAUGAGUAUGUAAAUUUGUACAAACGGAGGAGUCACGGGUAUACAGAUAUAAGAAUUGUUUUUCAGGCAAAUCUGUAUACUUCCGCCAUCAUCUAGCGUGUUCAACUGAGGCCCAUCAAUACAAAUUCUCUGGCUUUUCUCAUUACCGUUUGAGGACUGUACAUUUGAAUGGCUCUACUUACAAAGUUAGAUGAAAGAGUUACAGGGUUCAAAAGAAAUUGCAGAUUUCAGACGAGGAGUUCUCGAAGG